rnacentral:rRNA from 1 species
AGAGUUUGAUCCUGGCUCAGGAUGAACGCUAGCGACAGGCCUAACACAUGCAAGUCGAGGGGUAUAGUAGCAAUACUAGAGACCGGCGCACGGGUGCGUAACGCGUAUGUAACCUACCUCACACUGGGGGAUAGCCUUCCGAAAGGGAGAUUAAUACCGCAUAAUAUUGUUUAUCUGCCUGGAUAGACAAUUAAAGCUUCGGUGGUGUGAGAUGGACAUGCGUAUGAUUAGCUAGUUGGCGGGGUAACGGCCCACCAAGGCGACGAUCAUUAGGGGUUCUGAGAGGAAGAUCCCCCACACUGGUACUGAGACACGGACCAGACUCCUACGGGAGGCAGCAGUGAGGAAUAUUGGUCAAUGGGCGAAAGCCUGAACCAGCCAUGUCGCGUGCAGGAAGACGGCCCUAUGGGUUGUAAACUGCUUUUGUAUGGGAAGAAACGACGGUACGAGUACUGUUUUGCCGGUACCAUACGAAUAAGGAUCGGCUAACUCCGUGCCAGCAGCCGCGGUAAUACGGAGGAUCCAAGCGUUAUCCGGAUUUAUUGGGUUUAAAGGGUGCGUAGGCGGGAGAUUAAGUCAGUGGUGAAAGUUUGCGGCUCAACCGUAAAAUUGCCAUUGAUACUGGUUUUCUUGAGUACAGUUGAGGUAGGCGGAAUGUGGUGUGUAGCGGUGAAAUGCUUAGAUAUACCACAGAACACCGAUUGCGAAGGCAGCUUACUAAGUUGUGACUGACGCUGAAGCACGAAAGCAUGGGGAUCAAACAGGAUUAGAUACCCUGGUAGUCG